rnacentral:rRNA from 1 species
ACGCUCGACACCUACGGGAAGCAGCAGUGGGGAAUAUUGCACAAUGGGGGAAACCCUGAUGCAGCGACGCCGCGUGAGUGAAGAAGUAUUUCGGUAUGUAAAGCUCUAUCAGCAGGGAAGAAGAUGACGGUACCUGAGUAAGAAGCCCCGGCUAACUACGUGCCAGUAGCCGCCGGUAAGUACUGAGCGGGCGUGGCGAAGGACG